CAUGAAGCUGGAAUUGCUAGUAAUGGCAGGUCAGCAUGCUGCCGUGAAUACGUUCCCGGGCCUUGUACACACCGCCCGUCACACCAUGAGAGUCGAUAACACCCGAAGCCUGUGAGCUAACCUUAGGGAGGCAGCAGUCGAAGGUGGGGUUGAUGAUUAGGGUGAAGUCGUAACAAGGUAGC
rnacentral:rRNA from 1 species